AAGUCUCACAUGGGGUAGUUGGUCGUGGAAGCUGACAUGAUGCUUCGGCCCAGAUAAAAUUGUAGAUCCAAGUGUGAUUCUUCGUACAUUAGAAGGCAUCGGUCGUCCGGUAAGAUUCUUCAUCCCUUAACAAUUAGCAUGAGCGAACAGAGUAAUAAUUUUCUCAAGGAUAUAUCAUUUAAGAAUUUUUGCUCAACAUUAGGUAUCGAUUUGAUCUGGAUUUGCCUAAAUAUAUAUCCUAUUGAUUGCAUUAUGGCAAUGUAUUUUCGGCUAUACUUUCAUUGGCAACUUUUGCAGACAGAUUGGCAGCUUGCGAGGCAACAAAUGAAAAUAUCAACAUAGGUAAACAAGAAUUACUAGCGAUUCACAGUUUCCCUCUUGGUAAACCUAAGAUGAAAUUUUUUCAUAAAGAGGCUGAUGAUCUACUACUCAAUAUUAUAAACUGCGCCCAGAUCCCUCUCUCUCUCUCUCUCUCUCUCUCUCUCUCUCUCUCUCUCUCUCUCUCUCUCAAACUAGCAUUUUCCUUAAAAAAAUCCUUGGUCAUUUUGAACUCCUUUUGUGAGCAGUUUUAUGUGUCAAAUUUGACUAAUGGUAGAUAUCCGGUUUAGAACAAACACCUCUCGAUUUUUCGUGAUGAUUGGAAAGCCUGUCAAGUUUCUUAUUGUUCAUUCAAGUAUGAAUUCUGAAUAAGGAAGAGAAACUGAGCUAAAAUAAAAAUCAAGGUUCAAGUUUUUCUGGUGGGUGAUUUAGCAAAAUGAAAAUUAGUUUUGGCUGGCCUGUUUCAUAAAUAUUUGUAGAAAGGCUUUCCAUAACCAAUUGCCGAAGUGUUGGUUUGAAAAAUUAUCAAGUGAAGUAAGUUGGUGCAGCUUUUGUGACAGCUCUGGCUGGUCUAUUUGAUGGUCAAGGCCUACCUUUGUACUUCAAUUCAAAUGACCUAUUGCAUGAUUGGAACAAUUUUUUGCCUGUUGUCUAAAACUAGCUAGGCGUGGCAUUUGUGAUUUUGCUAAUUAGUUUGCAUCCUGUUUGAUCCUGUUGUUGUCGUAGAAUCAUUUCAUUGCAUGAUUGAUCUCGGUUUGGCUAACUUGGCUUAGGAAAUUCAAAUUCCAUACCAGAGACCGAUCAAAAUGAAGAAGAGAGAUUUUGCCAAGGAAUCAUGAACAACAGCUGAGGGCAAGCUUUUGUGCCGACCUUAAAGAGGCUCACAGGCCAACUGGAGUGUC
rnacentral:lncRNA from 1 species